rnacentral:rRNA from 1 species
AACAACGGAUCUCUUGGCUCUCGCAUCGAUGAAGAACGUAGCGAAGUGCGAUAAGUAAUGUGAAUUGCAGAAUUCCGUGAAUCAUCGAAUCUUUGAACGCAAAUUGCACUCUCUUCGGAGAGUAUGCCUGUUUGAGGGUCAGU